UCAUCUGGUCUGACUCCGACUACCACACCUGAGGUGCAAAAAACGCAGUAACUUUUGAUUGCCAUCUUGUUCCUGUCCGGAUGUUGGCAUAACCAGUCCUGUAACCCUGGACGUGCAGCAAGCCAUCUAGAAAUGGUGGUGAAUUCCAUCAAUACAAACAGAAAAUGUUGCAGGUAGCCCUCCUGCUCACAGCUCCAGUCAGUCAACAAUGUCUUUCUGCAGAAUACCAUUUCUUCUUCAACUCAGGCUCCCGGCCUCUCCUCUCACAAGCAGUUUCCGGAGGAUGGACUGUUGCUAGUGGAGUUGUCCUUUUUAUUACUGUUCUCAGCCAUCCCACAGCCCUAUGCAGAGAAUCUGUUCCAGCAUUAACUUUGCAAUGCUGAUUCACGUUCCAGGGAAGAUAUGAUAAUCGCGUGGCAGGAAUCAGAGAAGAAAGAAUAGCAAGCAGCAAAGCUUGACAUUUCUUCUGCCAUUUUCAAUAUGGGUGUAAAAGUCCUAGUUGGGUAAUAUUUUUAUAGGUGUUUGGAUUGUUUUAAAAUAAAGUGCAGAGGAGCUAAAGGCUACUUUAUGUAUCAUGGAUGAAGUGUAAACUGGUACACCUUGGAUUAUUCAGUUCAGUUGAUUACACUCAUAGACCAGCUCAAAGUAAAUCCAAAAAUAAAACAUCCAAUUUGCCAAUGGUGAAUAGUGAAAAUAAACAUUGUGAAUAUUGAAACCUAAAUGUGAAUAACUAAUUGAAAUAAAAUCGUAUAA